UUGGAAAGAAGGAAAA
rnacentral:sRNA from 1 species